ACUGUUGAACAUAUUGCAUUGAGAAGUUAUUAGUAAAAAGAUCAAAUUCAACCAUAAAGUGCAGAAUUCUAUACCUGUAAGUACCUGGAACAACACUGACAAUAUUUUCUGCCCUCAUACCUGUCUAACAGAAUGCUGGCUGCUUUUCCCUGGAAGGAUCCCAGCCUCUGCCCUCAGUUGAAAACUUCCAUGUUGGCAGAUGGGCAAAAGAUCCCGAGAUAUUUUUAGAGGGCACAACAUCAGAUCCUGACAUGUCUGAACAUCGACACCAGCAGCCCAGAAGGAGCCUCACUUCUGUGCCCACAGCUGAAUGCAGCACCAGACACAGACGGAUAAACAUUCACACACACACACUUAUGCUUCUUCAUCUACUACCUUUAGUCCCUCUUUCUCCAGCCAGCAGCCAUCACAGUAGAUCACUCCAAACCCGUCAGCAGUGAUAGACAGCAAUCCAAGUGUUAAUUUCACUCUGUGUAGCUGUUUAAACUCCACGACCUUUUAACAUCUGAGAUGUGUCAGCAGAGCAUCCCUGCAAUUACCUACACAUGGGGUGCUCCUCAGAGUACAGGAAAAGUCUGGACAGAAUGAGGAUCACUGCCAUCAUUUCUGCCACACUCACAGCUGCUGUAAAUCACUGUUGCUUCAAUGGGAUCUCAGCUUGGCAGAAAGACUAUAGAGUGAAAAUGCCCAGGAUUCAUGCUGCUUUCUGCAUUCCCUGACUAUAAUGUGCAGGAUCUGCCCCAACAGGAAAAAGCUGUUGGAGGCUACAGUGCAUUUCCAGAAAGCCAGAAGUGCUGCUCUUCAGGCUCAGCUGGGCUGUCUCAGCUGCUCACACCAGGAGCGCUGUGCCGCAGGUUGGUAUCUCUCCCAGCACUGUGUUCACAAGGAAGAUUUUGGCAUGCAGUAGUUGUACAGCAGCUAUGAAGUGGUGCCUGUUUUGGAAACCAACAUACCCACCCUAUGCCAACAUGUGGGUUAUCUGGGGAUACCACAAGGAGAAUAAAAAGCAAGAUCCACCAAGCAAAGCAAGUGGACAAUUACCAAAAAAUACCCAAGUGCUUACGUGGCCAUGGUGCACACUGUCAGAAGCUCUGCCCACAGACAUUAUCAGGUUCUGACAAUGCUGGCAGUGCUCCUCCCAUCCUGUCUCUUGGUUUUCCUGUACACAUAUUGUUGGUACACUCAGACACCAGGGGCUUCAGGAAUGGGAAGUAAAUAUAUUUUCUUCAAGUAUAUACUGACAAUACUUGUCAAAGUGAGAAAUGCUACCCAUGGAGCUGCACUGGAUGCGCAGUGGCACCAUACGCCAGAAGGAAAAGUUCUGAACCCACAGAAGUACAGCAGCUUAGAAACAUGUAAUUAAUAGAACACGUUAAACCACUGCAUUAAAAUUCAUGUGAUCUUCGUUCCUUCUAUUACAGGAAUGUUGUUGGCCACACCCUGAGCUCUUGGUUGAGAGAUGGCAAACCCCCAGGGUUACUGUUACUGAUACCACAAAGCAGAAUGGGAGUUAGGAGAUUAAGUAAUUAAGUGCAGUAUUUGCCAGUAUUUGUUUUAACUAUAAAAUCUUCCAUGGAAUCGCCCCUUUUUGCAGUACCAGCUGCAUUAUGAGCUCUUCAGACACCCCACCGACCCCUUCGACAAGCAAAGUGAAAUAAUUCAAACAAAGAGUUUCUCUAUUUGAAUAUAGCACUGGAAGGAGAAAUUGGGCCAACCAGGCAACGGGUCUCAAAUAACUUCCAACAGCAUUUCUGUAGAGAAAGUGAUUCUUCUGAUUAUUAAGAAAUUAUAAAUGUUAGAACAGCCACAAUUGCCUGGACCUUCACGGGUUGCUAUAAUAGCUAAUAAUUAGCAAGAGUGAAAAGUUUAUGAAUGAAAUUCAUCCUCAGUCUGCAGUAACUUAAGUGAUUUCAAUAACACAGCACCAGGGAUGAAUUACUGCUUUUAUUACAGUAUUCACAUUGAAUUAAAACCCUCAAUCACUGUAUUAAGUCCUUAGCAUAAAAUAUGAAUGAAAGGGAAUAUUUUAUUUAAUAAAAUAAAAUAGGUAAGAAAUCUCAUUAAUCAGAAUCAUGAAAAAUUGAACGAAUGUAGGUUUCUGUUUGUAAUAAGGAUAUCCCAAACCUCCUGCCCUAAUGGCUCUCAUUCUUUAAUUCCACCUCUGCCCCCCCAUAAACUGCUGUAUUUCCUUGUGCUGCUGUUUACAAUGUUCCUUUUUUCCAGGCCAGCAUCUUUGCUACAAAACCUGGUGUGCCCUGCCAUGUCAUCCAUUUUAAAAGCCCAUUUUACCUUCUCCUGCUGAAAUGCUAAUCAUCAUUAGACCUAAUUCUUGUAAGCUCACAAAGAACACUCACGGGCAUGAUUUUAAAUCACCAACAAUAACCUGAAAGCAGGAAGGUGAAUUUAGGAUCCCGUAAAGUUAACUGAAUGCAGGAAUGGUAAGUUCUACAAGGUCAUGGAUCCACUCCCAAGCAGACUGCAGAAGUGCUCUCCAUAGCCAAGGACAAACCAAACAGAUCUAAACACCAUGUACGAUGCUUUUCCCCCUCCUACUUCCACUUCUCUUAAUGUGACAAAAUUACAUACAGAUUUUCUACUUCUGUCUUGACAUAUAGAGGGCAGAUUGUGAAGCAUGUCUGAAAAGACCUGACAACGCAGAUGAAAAAGGGGACAGGCACAUCACAGCCUUAACUUGAAUGUGCUGGGCAACGUGAUACUUGGCAUAAAUCACACACAAUGGGUUUAGAAUGAAAUGGAGAUGGGCUUCAAACAGCUUUACAAAAUAAGUGAUUUUAGAGGAAGAGAAUCAUUGGAAUCAGACCAGUAGGUCAAAAAAUGUGUCAGCAAAAGGAGUUGUUGAUUUGAGAAAAACACACUUGGCACACGUGUGAAAGUUUGAGGGGUCAGAGAGUGGUCACAGAGCUGGAAAAAGCAAAAGCUAAGGUUAAAAUCUGUAAAGCAAUGAACACAGGGAAGAGCUUUUAACUGUGAGCAUUGCUAGAGCUGAUCCACAUUUCUGCAUGGGACAUCCACGAGGGCAGUAUGUCAGAAGCCCCACCUGCAGGCAAUUGUCAUUGCAGACAUUUUAGCACUGUCUUGAGAGCAGGAAACAUCAUUUAAGAGAGGUGAAAGUAAUCAAAGAUAACACUGAACUCUCAGUCUGUGAUGGAAGACUACUGAACUACCAGUGAUUUAAGGGAAGAGUUUGAAGAGGAAAAAGAGGAAUGGUUCAUUUCUGUAUAUUCUUGUCAUUUUAUAUACUACUUCCAAAGCCACAUUGAAGACCUGAUGGAGACUAUUUCAGAUGAGAUGUCAGAGUCUGCACAAGUAAAUAACUGCAGGUGUAACAGUAAAAGUACCUUUCUGCAGUGCUGAUGUAGUGUCUGCUCCUCAUUUUUAAUCACUAUUAAUUGCAAGCCCAGAUGAAAAUUAAGCCCAGGCUUUUGACAAUAGCACUUACUGAACUCAGUUCUUAUUUGGGUACAUUCAUACAAAUGUCAUGAAAAUAAAUUGAGUUUUUUUAGGCUUA